GUACGUAAAGCCCCAUCUGAGGAUUCUGGAAUUUGCUGACCCUGCUUUGUGUGUGACAUGCUGGCGUCGGGAUUAUGUUUCCAGCUAGGUUGUCCCAAGUAUCUGCAGACUGGGUGGUCCACGUGGGGUUUCUCAGAAAUAAGAAUAUGGCAAUUGGACCUGAAGGAAAAUGAUGUCUCUACAAUUAACAAUCAUGGGGCUUGGAAGGCCCAAGGAGAAAACUAGG